rnacentral:lncRNA from 1 species
AUUGAUUAAGUAAUGUGCAAAAUAAUAAAUAAAAAGUAUAUAUUUGGUAUAUAUACGUUUUAUUUAUUAUUUUGCAUAUUACUUAAUCAUUGUUAUAUGUUUUAUCUUAUAUUUAAUUUUUCUAUAAGAUGGAAUUUUUUCUAAAUGGUAUAAUUUAAUUUUUUCAUUGUUGAAUUGAUAAAAGGUGGUUUCAUUUCUAAUUUAUAUAUAUAUAUAUAUAUAUAUAUAUAUAUAUAUAUAUAUAUAUAUAACGAAUGGUUUACCCCUGGUAGCUUACUGGUAAAGCACGGUCACUUUCACAGUGAUCGUUAGGUAUAUGGCAAUUGAAAGACGGAAGAUGAGGAAUCGAUGCUUGAUGUGUCGAAACAAUUGUCGUGAUAAAUAAUAAAUUCUCGAAUAUGCCAUCUUCCGUCUUUCAUUUGUCAUAUAUAUAUAUACACAUACAUACAUGGGCAGAUGGGGGUUCUGGGAAGACAGAUGACUUCCAGGAGGGUCUGGCAUGGGUAUAUGGGGGUUAGCGACCCUAUUCACAGUCCUUGAUAAAUGGCACCAAAUCAGCUACGAAAGCCAAGAGCAAGUGACCCUCUCCUCCCAGGCAUACCGAGAGGUUUGAGUGGGGAUGAGAGACUCAGCAGAACGUGUUCAAAGAUUUACAGGCACAGAAGCAGCUCUAAGCAUCAUUAACUGGAUGGAAGCACUCCGUCGGUUACGACGAUGAGGGUUCCGGUUGAUCCGAUCAACGGAACAGCCUGCUCGUGAAAUUAACGUGUAAGUGGCCGAGCAUUCCACAGACACGUGUACCCUUAACGCAGUUCUCGGGGAUAUUCAGCGUGACACAGAGAGUGACAAGGCCGGCCCUUUGAAAUACAGGUACAACAGAAACAGGAAGUAAGAGUGAGAGAAAGUUGUGGUGAAAGAGUACAGCAGGGAUCACCACCAUCCCCUGCCGGAGCCUCAUGGAACUUUAGGUGUUUUCGCUCAAUAAACACUCACAACGCCCGGUCUGGGAAUCGAAACCGCGUUCCUACGACCGCGAGUCCGCUGCCCUAACCACUGGGCCAUUGCGCCUCCACGUAUCAUUAACUAUGGAGGUAGUGGAAGUAAAAUUUCUCUGCGAAAAAAUUCUGUAAGAACAGGGAAGGGUUCAAAAUACGCGGAGGCACGUCUGACUCUGGAAAGGAGGAACCACAGGUGCAGUGCACGGUGACAGCAUAUGGGGAGGUGCAGAAGAAUUCCAGGAAGGAAGCACCCAACAGAACUGGAAGUCUUUCAACAGCUGUGUCACAUGAGGCUCGCAGGCAGAACAACCUACCUAAUAACUCUCCAAAGGACCAAUUCCCCACCCGCCCAGUAAGAGAUCGAAUCAAAUGGCCCAAGAUCAAUGAAACAAAGAAAUGGCUACAACAAGACCAAGUCCUCGACAAAAUAUCAGAAUGCAUGUUGGUAGGUGCUGCUAAGCAAAAAGUGGAUGCCUAUCACAUUCAAUCUGACAAGUGAUCGCUGUGGAACAGAAAACGGACAAGUUGCCUUCAAAAUAAAGAAGGACCAUUGCAAAAGAUAAAGAGAGGUACAUCUUUUGAGGAGAGAAAUCAAGACACUCCCCACCCGCAAUAAGCAGUAUAAAACAUAUACUGCAAAUGAAGAUGGAAGCCAUGAAGGACUUGACGGAUCAGUACCGAGAUCUUCUGAACAGAAAGCAGCCGGAAGUGAAGGAAAGAAGGAGUGGGAGACCAAGCAGGCGCAGUUUACUAAGAAUCCGUUUAGGUUCAUCAGAACACAGAUGGGUGAGAUCAAAUCGGAGAGAUUGACCAGCCCCAGAAAUGUAGAAGCUUUCCUGAGGGGAGGUCUUCAACGACAACCUCAAGAACCAAGCCUUCGCUGCCAACCCAGACGUCAGUGGAGCGGAAGUACUAGGAAACAAGUUUGAUAGAAACUGUCUAUUCUGGAAAGGCGGCGAGCUGGCAGAAACGUUAGCACGCCGAGCGAAAUGCGUAGCCGUAUUUCGCCUGCCAUUACGUUCUGAGUUCAAAUUCCGCCGAGGUCGACUUUGCCUUUCAUCCUUUCGGGGUUGAUAAAUUAAGUACCAGUUACGCACUGAGGUCGAUGUAAUCGACUUGAUCCGUUUGUCCGUCCUUGUUUGUCCCCUCUGUGUUUAGCCCCUUUGUGGGUAGUAAAGAAAUAUAUUCUGGAAAGAAGUGAAAGAAGUGGUGAACAAGUCCAGAUCAGGGCCAGCUCCUGGCCAGAGUGACAUACGUUAUAAAGUACACAAAAAAUGCCCAUUGCUCAUUCGGAGACUGUGGGUGUUAUUCCGAAAGAUCUGGACAAAUGGGAAUCAUUCCAUUUUGCUCGAAGAAGGCAGAAUGUUUUGUUUUUUUUAUCAAAGGAAGAAAACUCCUCGGCUAUGAACCAUUUCAGAACCAUCUCAUUCCUCCUUUUUCUUGUGUAUCAGAAAAAGACCACAUUAACUGGGAAAGGUAACCGUGGAUUUACAAAACUGACC